rnacentral:rRNA from 1 species
ACGGAGGGUGCAAGCGUUAUUCGGAAUUACUGGGCAUAAAGCGCGUGUAGGCGGGGUUGUAAGUCUGAUGUGAAAUCCCUGGGCUUAACCUUGGAACUGCAUUGGAAACUGCAUUUCUUGAGUACUGGAGAGGUAGGGGGAAUUUCCGGUGUAGAGGUGAAAUUCGUAGAGAUCAGGAGGAAUACCGAUGGCGAAGGCGGCCUACUGGAUGGUUACUGACGCUGAGACGCGAAAGCGUGGGGAGCAAACAG